rnacentral:rRNA from 1 species
UGCAGUCGAACGAGAAAGCCCAGCAAUGGGUGAGUAAAGUGGCGUACGGGUGAGUAACACGUGGAUUAUCUACCUCUUAGUGGGGGAUAACUCUGGGAAACCGAAGCUAAUACCGCAUAAGCCUGGAAAGGGAAAGUCGCAAGACGCUGAGAGAGGAGUCCGCGGCCGAUUAGCUAGUUGGCAGGGUAAAAGCCUACCAAGGCUAUGAUCGGUAGCCGGCCUGAGAGGGCACACGGCCACACUGGCACUGAAACACGGGCCAGACUCCUACGGGAGGCAGCAGUGGGGAAUCUUGCACAAUGGGGGCAACCCUGAUGCAGCGACGCCGCGUGAGCGAUGAAGCCCUUCGGGGUGUAAAGCUCUUUCGGCAGGAACGAUAAUGACGGUACCUGAAGAAGAAGCUGCGGCUAACUACGUGCCAGCAGCCGCGGUAAUACGUAGGCAGCAAGCGUUGUUCGGAGUUACUGGGCGUAAAGAGUGUGUAGGUGGUUCUCUAAGUUUGGUGUGAAAUCUCCCGGCUCAACUGGGAGGGUGCGCCGAAAACUGGGGGGCUUGAGUGUGGGAGAGGAAAGCGGAAUUCCUGGUGUAGCGGUGAAAUGCGUAGAUAUCAGGAGGAACACCUGCGGUGUAGACGGCUUUCUGGACCACUACUGACACUGAGACACGAAAGCGUGGGUAGCAAACAGGAUUAGAUACCCUGGUAGUCCACGCCCUAAACGAUGCAUACUUGGUGUGAGCGAUUCAUUUCGUUCGUGCCGGAGCUAACGCGUUAAGUAUGCCGCCUGGGGAGUACGGUCGCAAGGCUGAAACUCAAAGGAAUUGACGGGGGCCCGCACAAGCGGUGGAGCAUGUGGUUUAAUUCGACGCACCG